rnacentral:rRNA from 1 species
GUGCAUUGCGGGUGCUAUACAUGCAAGUCGAGCGGACAGAAGGGAGCUUGCUCCCGGGUGUUAGCGGCGGACGGGUGAGUAACACGUGGGUAACCUGCCUGUAAGACUGGGAUAACUCCGGGAAACCGGAGCUAAUACCGGAUAGUUCCUUGAACCGCAUGGUUCAAGGAUGAAAGACGGUUUCGGCUGUCACUUACAGAUGGACCCGCGGCGCAUUAGCUAGUUGGUGAGGUAACGGCUCACCAAGGCGACGAUGCGUAGCCGACCUGAGAGGGUGAUCGGCCACACUGGGACUGAGACACGGCCCAGACUCCUACGGGAGGCAGCAGUAGGGAAUCUUCCGCAAUGGACGAAAGUCUGACGGAGCAACGCCGCGUGAGUGAUGAAGGUUUUCGGAUCGUAAAGCUCUGUUGUUAGGGAAGAACAAGUGCAAGAGUAGCUGCUUGCACCUUGACGGUACCUAACCAGAAAGCCACGGCUAACUACGUGCCAGCAGCCGCGGUAAUACGUAGGUGGCAAGCGUUGUCCGGAAUUAUUGGGCGUAAAGGGCUCGCAGGCGGUUUCUUAAGUCUGAUGUGAAAGCCCCCGGCUCAACCGGGGAGGGUCAUUGGAAACUGGAAACUUGAUUGCAGAAGAGGAGAGUGUAAUUCCACGUGUAGCGGUGAAAUGCGAAAAAA